rnacentral:rRNA from 1 species
GCGGAGGAAAAGAAACCAACAGGGAUUGCCCUAGUAACGGCGAGUGAAGCGGCAACAGCUCAAAUUUGAAAUCUGGCUUCGGCCCGAGUUGUAAUUUGCAGAGGAAGCUUUAGGCGCGGCACCUCCUGAGUCCCCUGGAACGGGGCGCCACAGAGGGUGAGAGCCCCGUAUAGUUGGAUGCCUAGCCUGUGUAAAGCUCCUUCGACGAGUCGAGUAGUUUGGGAAUGCUGCUCAAAAUGGGAGGUAAAUUUCUUCUAAAGCUAAAUACCGGCCAGAGACCGAUAGCGCACAAGUAGAGUGAUCGAAAGAUGAAAAGCACUUUGAAAAGAGGGUUAAAUAGCACGUGAAAUUGUUGAAAGGGAAGCGCUUGUGACCAGACUUGCGCCGGGCUGAUCAUCCGGUGUUCUCACCGGUGCACUCUGCCCGGCUCAGGCCAGCAUCGGUUCUCGCGGGGGGAUAAAGGCCCUGGGAACGUAGCUCCUCCGGGAGUGUUAUAGCCCGGGGCGCAAUGCCCUCGCGGGGACCGAGGUUCGCGCUCUGCAAGGAUGCUGGCGUAAUGGUCAUCAGCGACCCGUCUUGAAACACGGACCAAGGAGUCAAGGUUUUGCGCGAGUGUUUGGGUGUAAAACCCGCACGCGUAAUGAAAGUGAACGUAGGUGAGAGCUUCGGCGCAUCAUCGACCGAUCCUGAUGUUCUCGGAUGGAUUUGAGUAGGAGCGUUAAGCCUUGGACCCGAAAGAUGGUGAACUAUGCUUGGAUAGGGUGAAGCCAGAGGAAACUCUGGUGGAGGCUCGCAGCGGUUCUGACGUGCAAAUCGAUCGUCAAAUCUGAGCAUGGGGGCGAAAGACUAAUCGAACCAUCUAGUAGCUGGUUACCGCCGAAGUUCCCCCUCAGGA